rnacentral:tRNA from 1 species
AAAGGGAGACCUAAUUCAGGUAGGAGACGAAAAAAGAGUAGUCCCUACCAGGAAUCAAUCCCAAAAGGUCGGAGCGAGGCGAAAUUGGCUUUCAAACUAGGUUCUGGGUUCAAACAAGACCUGAAUCAGGAACAAGGGCUAUUAGCUCAGGUGGUUAGAGCGCACCCCUGAUAAGGGUGAGGUCCCUGGUUCGAGUCCAGGAUGGCCCACCUGCACAGGUGGCAAAAACAAGAGAAGCGAGGAAUCAGCACCUUAUCUUACUGACAUAGUAAGAGAGAAUGCUGGCUCUGAGUAAAGAGUCCAGAGGAACCUUGAAAACUGCAUAGAGCUAGGUGAAAAAGCCAAAAAAGAAGACCGCAAG